CCUACGGGAGGCUGCAGUGGGGAAUAUUGCGCAAUGGGCGCAAGCCUGACGCAGCGACGCCGCGUGAGGGAUGAAGGUCUUCGGAUCGUAAACCUCUGUCAGCAGGGAAGAACGGUCACUGUGCUAAUCAGCAGUGAAUUGACGGUACCUGCAAAGGAAGCACCGGCUAACUCCGUGCCAGCAGCCGCGGUAAUACGGAGGGUGCGAGCGUUAAUCGGAAUUACUGGGCGUAAAGCGCUCGUAGGCGGUAUGUCAAGUCAAGGGUGAAAUCCCCGCGCUUAACGUGGGAACUGCCUUUGAUACUGGCAAACUGGAGUGUGUGAGAGGAUAGUAGAAGUCCAGGUGUAGCAGUGAAAUGCGUAGAGAUGUGGAGGAACACCAGAGGCGAAGGCGACUAUUUGGCACAUAACUGACGCUGAGGAGCGAAAGCGUGGGUAGCAAACAGGAUUAGAUACCCUGGUAGUC
rnacentral:rRNA from 1 species